AUGGGGACGCCGCCGGUGACCUCCGCUCCCAAAUCGUCCGCCGCUCCGCCCCCCAAAUCGACCGCUGCUUGCUAUUUGAGGCCUCCACGCCUCGUCUCCGCCGGCCACCUCCUCUUGCCGGCCGGCGCCGCCUGCAUCCUCUCCGCCGCCGCCUGCCUCGUGGACGGCGCAGCCCGCCUCGUCACGGGCGCACUUCCUCACGAGACCCGUGUCGAGGAGAGGGGGAUGCAGUGA
rnacentral:rRNA from 1 species